AACCUUUCUUGGCCUUUUAGCUAAGAUCAAGUGUAGUAUUUGUUCUUAUCAAGUUAGUAUCUGAUAUGUGGGGCCCUCACGAUAUUAAAUUACUUUUUAGGGAGAGGGGCCACUAUUGUUGCUUGCUACUGAGCUUCUCGCGCGUUGCCUUGGCGUUGCACUAAAGCCUUGGCCUGGCACACACCUA